rnacentral:rRNA from 1 species
AUUGAACGCUGGCGGCAGGCCUAACACAUGCAAGUCGAACGAGUGGCGGACGGGUGUGUAAUGUCUGGGAAACUGCCUGAUGGAGGGGGAUAACUACUGGAAACGGUAGCUAAUACCGCAUACCACCCGUUGUGCCCAGAUGGGAUUGGCUUGUUGGUGGGGUAACGGCUCACCAAGGCGACGAUCCAUAGCUGGUCUGAGAGGAUGACCAGCCACACUGGAACUGAGACACGGUCCAGACUCCUACGGGAGGCAGCAGUAGGGAAUAUUGCACAAUGGGCGAAAGCCUGAUGGAGCAAAGCCGCGUGAGUGAAGAAGGCCUUCGGAUUGUAAAGUACUGUCAGUAGAGAAGCGGUACCCAAAGAGAAAGCACCGGCUAACUCCGUGCCAGCCGCCGCGGUAAUAC